rnacentral:lncRNA from 1 species
AGAACCUGGUGGAGGUUUAAAGACACAUACAUAAACACGCCGACGGCUGCCUAGGAUUGGGAAGACAAAUUUAAAUAAGGCAAUUUGGAUUUGGUUGCUGAAUUUCAUUAUACAAAUUACAAGAGAUCGGCAUCUGUUGGGAGAUAAACAUUGUGGCUGCUGAAUUGUAUCAUAUAUACAUGAACAAAAAGCUGGUUGGGAUUGGAGAAACGACUGAACAGACUGGAAGGCGGCACGCACUAUUGGAGUUAUUCAUCUUCUAUCAAUUUUUGAUGAUGUCGUUCCACUUCUAUUUAUUUAAUUCCAACAGUAUGCUAAGUUAAUUCCUCCUUUGUAUUGGAUGAGACAAACCCUAUUGUUUAUUUAUUUCUAAUUCAAAACAAGUAAUUUAGUUUAAUUCGUGUGUUUCUUGAUUAAUUUUGCAUUUCCAUUGCAUAUUAAAUUUUUUGGCCAUCAAUUGAAUAGUUAGUUGCUUGUUGUAGUGUAGGAAUACUCAUAACGAAGUCUAGAACGUGGCAAAAUUAACAUGUAUAGUUAGGAUUAGGAAUAAUAUCUAUCAUACAUGCAAUCAUAUUGAUAACUUAAACUAA